GAUGAACGCUGGCGGCGUGCCUAAUACAUGCAAGUCGAGCGAACAGACGAGGAGCUUGCUCCUCUGACGUUAGCGGCGGACGGGUGAGUAACACGUGGAUAACCUACCUAUAAGACUGGGAUAACUUCGGGAAACCGGAGCUAAUACCGGAUAAUAUAUUGAACCGCAUGGUUCAAUAGUGAAAGACGGUUUUGCUGUCACUUAUAGAUGGAUCCGCGCCGCAUUGGCUAGUUGGUAAGGUAACGGCUUACCAAGGCAACGAUGCGUAGCCGACCUGAGAGGGUGACCGGCCACACUGGAACUGAGACACGGUCCAGACUCCUACGGGAGGCAGCAGUAGGGAAUCUUCCGCAAUGGGCGAAAGCCUGACGGAGCAACGCCGCGUGAGUGAUGAAGGUCUUCGGAUCGUAAAACUCUGUUAUUAGGGAAGAACAAAUGUGUAAGUAACUAUGCACGUCUUGACGGUACCUAAUCAGAAAGCCACGGCUAACUACGUG
rnacentral:rRNA from 1 species